rnacentral:rRNA from 1 species
AUGCACGCUGGCGGCGUGCUUAACACAUGCAAGUCGAACGGAAAGGCCCAAGCUUGCUUGGGUACUCGAGUGGCGAACGGGUGAGUAACACGUGGGCGAUCUGCCCUGCACUUCGGGAUAAGCCUGGGAAACUGGGUCUAAUACCGGAUAGGACCACGUCUUGGAUGUUGUGGUGGAAAGUUUUUUCGGUGUGGGAUGAGCUCGCGGCCUAUCAGCUUGUUGGUGGGGUAAUGGCCUACCAAGGCGUCGACGGGUAGCCGGCCUGAGAGGGUGUACGGCCACAUUGGGACUGAGAUACGGCCCAGACUCCUACGGGAGGCAGCAGUGGGGAAUAUUGCACAAUGGGCGCAAGCCUGAUGCAGCGACGCCGCGUGGGGGAUGACGGCCUUCGGGUUGUAAACUCCUUUCGCUAGGGACGAAGCGUUUUUGUGACGGUACCUGGAGAAGAAGCACCGGCUAACUACGUG